CUCAGAUUGAACGCUGGCGGCAUGCUUUACACAUGCAAGUCGAACGGUAACAGGUCUUCGGAUGCUGACGAGUGGCGAACGGGUGAGUAAUGCAUCGGAACGUGCCCAGUCGUGGGGGAUAACGCAGCGAAAGCUGUGCUAAUACCGCAUACGAUCUAUGGAUGAAAGCGGGGGACCGUAAGGCCUCGCGCGAUUGGAGCGGCCGAUGUCAGAUUAGCUAGUUGGUGGGGUAAAGGCCCACCAAGGCGACGAUCUGUAGCUGGUCUGAGAGGACGACCAGCCACACUGGGACUGAGACACGGCCCAGACUCCUACGGGAGGCAGCAGUGGGGAAUUUUGGACAAUGGGCGCAAGCCUGAUCCAGCAAUGCCGCGUGCAGGAAGAAGGCCUUCGGGUUGUAAACUGCUUUUGUACGGAACGAAAAGGUCCGGGUUAAUACCCUGGGCUCAUGACGGUACCGUAAGAAUAAGCACCGGCUAACUACGUG
rnacentral:rRNA from 1 species